UAUAACGACUCCAGUUGAUACUCGAUAACUGUCUUAACUGUCUUAACUGUCUAACAAUUGUCACACUCUCGAGUCUUGAUACUCGUCCGUCCAACUUGAAUUUACAAGUCUCAGAAGGAGAUUAUUAUAGAAUAUUCAACAAUCACAAUAAAUCUUUGCUCUACCUACUUGAUUACAACGUUGCUCAAUGCUCUUAAUUGUAAUUUGUAACUUACUCUAUUACCUUUUUAGCAGUUAUCAAUUGUCAUUUCAUCAAAUUCAACGCAAUUCUAGUUCAAGUUCCGUCGUGCUGAUGUACAACUGUGUUUACUAUUCAAGAAUACAAUUAGUAUUAACAAUGUUUUAUUAAGAAAUAUCAUUGUUGAUUGUGGAGUUUUUGACUUGCAAAUGCCACAGACUACUGCAGGAUUGUAGUAUUGUUUGUUGUUCGAUUACCAUCUAUCAGACCUUCUCAUUGGAGCUGUAUGAAAUACUAUUCGCCAAUGGAAGUAUCAAAAACCUAAAAACUGGUCAAAAAAGGAAAAAGAAAAUAACACACUAAGGAUAGUUGAAUAGUUCCAAGAGAAAAGACUAUUUAUUCUAUUAGAUAAGUAUAUUUAUACUCAAAUUCAAUAAUUUUUCAUGACAUUUUUAUAGAUAUGUCGUAGGCAUAUAGUCAAAUCAGGCAUUUUAUUAAAUGCCUAGUCAUUUAACUAAAUGACUAUUUCGUGACAGGCAAAUAAUAAAAAUACAUUUUGUAUUAUUUUAAAAAUUUAAAUA